UCUUCUGCCAGUGUUUGAUCAUCCCUGAUGGAUCCCAUGCAAGCAAGGACAGCCUCAGCAUUGAAAGACAAAGUAGAGAAAUGAGACAGAGAUUCACAUUUGUCCAAACUGAAACUUAGGAAGAGAAAACCUCUGGCACAAGCUGCAGAGAGAGGAUGCAACUGGAGGUGACCACUCAUUCUGGAAAAUAAGCAGGCUUUCCCGAAACAGGCGGUUCUGUCAUCAUUCAAAAGAAAAAAAAGGCCUGCCAACCUACCCUGCCAAAGUUCCAUGGACAGCAAGGUCUCCUGUCUGGUGGACCCACUGCAUUGCAGAAGAUCAGGAAGCUGAUCUUUCAGGUUGAAAUGGACAACAAACUAAGAGCUUUCUAAUGGGAAAUGAAAGCCUAGGAUUACAGGAUACUUAUCCUGAAGCACUCAGGAUUCACUGCACCAGCAUUUCCAGAUAAAAUAAUUUGGGGUACUGGACAGAGAUGUUGCUCAUGUGAUCCAUUUUCGUGAAAGACAAAAGCUUUUCAGUUCAGAAUUAAUUGUUGGGUGGGGUUUUGUUUUCAAAAUUAAUCAUUUUCUUAAGGCAAGGGAGGUAUUUUUCAUUACUAUUUUCAUGAAGCGGGAAGCGAACUGUCAAAAAGAGAAACUAAACUUUUUGCACUAAAAUUGGCUUAAAAAGAUAAUGUGGAGGCAGACUGGAUAUAGCUUUUACAAAACAGAGAGUUACAUUGUUUAAUAAGAAACCCAGAAAUAUGCAGGAUGGCUUAAGACAGAUAUGUUUAUUGCUGCUGCUGCCAGUGUCAUCUUUAAAAGGGAAGAGAGAUAACGUAAUUAAAUGCCUGUGAUCUCUCAGUGUUGUG
rnacentral:lncRNA from 1 species